rnacentral:rRNA from 1 species
UACGUAGGGUCCAAGCGUUGUCCGGAAUUAUUGGGCGUAAAGAGCUCGUAGGCGGCGUGUCGCGUCGGAUGUGAAAGCCCGGGGCUUAACUCCGGGUCUGCAUUCGAUACGGGCAGGCUAGAGUUCGGUAGGGGAGAUCGGAAUUCCUGGUGUAGCGGUGAAAUGCGCAGAUAUCAGGAGGAACACCGGUGGCGAAGGCGGAUCUCUGGGCCGAUACUGACGCUGAGAAGCGAAAGCAUGGGGAGCGAACAGG